GGACCCGACUGCUAUCAGAGUGGGAAUAAGCCAUGCGAGUCAACAUAGCAAUAUGUGGCAUACGGGUCAGUAACACGUAGUCAACAUGCCCAGGGGACGUGGAUAACCUCGGGAAACUGAGGAUAAACCGCGAUAGGUCAUCACUUUUGGAAUGGGUAAUGACUUAAACCUAUAUGGCCCCUGGAUUGGACUGCGGCCGAUCAGGCUGUUGGUGAGGUAAUGGCCCACCAAACCUGUAACCGGUACGGGCUUUGAGAGGAGGAGCCCGGAGAUGGGCACUGAGACAAGGGCCCCGGCCCUAUGGGGCGCAGCAGGCGCGAAACCUUUGCAAUAGGGGAAAGCUUGACAGGGUUACUUUGAGUGAUUUCCGUUAAGGAGAUUUUUUGGCACCUCUAAAAAUGGUGCAGAAUAAGGGGUGGGCAAGUUUGGUGU
rnacentral:rRNA from 1 species